UUAGCAUAUGGCGACAAGCAAGACAGGGACUCUGCCGCACCCGAUUUCAAAUCGGGGACGCAUGAUGUAUUCCGUCUAGGGGAAUCUCUGAUGCUAA
rfam:Brachypodium distachyon strain Bd21 chromosome 1, whole genome shotgun sequence.